GCCGAAGUGGCGGAAUGGCAUACGCGGCGGUCUCAAAAACCGUUGCCUUUACAGGCGUAAGGGUUCGACUCCCUUCUUCGGCACCA
rnacentral:tRNA from 1 species